AAACCAGCUCUGAAAAAGGUUGUCAAAGCCUCCUACAGUCAACCAACCUAGAUCUCGCCCCUACUGGCGUAUAGGACACAGCAGAGCUUCAUCCAGUUCAUGCUGGACUUUACGGAACUUGGACAAGUUUGUGUUCGCUUGUUCCUCCUGAACAUGAUAAAAAAAAGUUUGGACUCUACAUUGCGCUUCUGCUCGGCCUCCAGCUCAUUGUCCAGUUCCCGGACUCGAGCCUCCAGCUUCUGCAGCUGCUUUUUACCACCUUUCAUGGCAAUCUGCUCAGCCUCAUCCAGGCGCUGCUGAAGAUCCUUGA